rnacentral:tRNA from 1 species
AGGAGUAUGAUGUCAAUGGUAGCAUUCCGGUCUCCAAAACCGUGCGUGUGGGUUCGAGUCCUACUACUCCUGCCA